rnacentral:tRNA from 2 species
AUUAAGGUGGCAGAGCCCGGAAAUGCCAAAGACCUAAGCCCUUUAUACAGAGGUUCAAAUCCUCUCCUUAAUA